rnacentral:rRNA from 1 species
AUUGAACGCUGGCGGCAGGCCUAACACAUGCAAGUCGAGCGAGCGGCGGACGGGUGAGUAAUGUCUGGGAAACUGCCUGAUGGAGGGGGAUAACUACUGGAAACGGUAGCUAAUACCGCAUACCAUCAGAUGUGCCCAGAUGGGAUUAGCUAGUAGGUGGGGUAACGGCUCACCUAGGCGACGAACCCUAGCUGGUCUGAGAGGUUGACCAGACAAACGGGAACUGAGAAACGGUCCAGGUGCCUACGGGAGGCAGCAGUGGGGAAUAGUGCACAAUGGGCGAAAGCCGGAUGCAGCCAGGCCGCGUGUGUGAAGAAGGCCUUCGGGUUGUAAAGCACUGUCAGCGGGGAGGCGUUACCCAAAGAAGAAGCACCGGCUAACUCCGUGCCAGCAGCCGCGGUAAUUC